rnacentral:snoRNA from 1 species
GGCAGAGAUGACUAAUGCUUUAUUCUGACACCUCUUGUAUGAGAAGAGCGUUUGCUCUUUUAUGAGCACAUAAAGCAACUCUCUGAGCC